AGGGCUAUAGCUCAGUCGGUAGAGCACCUCGUUUACACGUGCGUCUGUUUUACCGAGAAGGUCUACGGUUCAAGCCCGUAUAGCCCUAA
rnacentral:tRNA from 5 species